UGUGGGAGCGGGCUUGCUCGCGAAGGCGUCGUGUCAGGCAAUUAAUGUAUCGACUGACUCACCGCAUUCGCGAGCAAGCCCGCUCCCACA
rnacentral:antisense_RNA from 1 species